rnacentral:tRNA from 1 species
CGCGGGGUAGAGCAGUUGGUGGCUCGGUGGGCUCAUAACCCACAGGUCGCUGGUUCGAGUCCAGCCCCCGCUA